UACAGAGGGUGCGAGCGUUAAACGGAAUUACUGGGCGUAAAGCGCACGUAGGUGGCGACGUAAGUCGGGUGUGAAAGCCCCGGGCUCAACCUGGGAUUUGCAUUCGAGACUCUACGACUAGAGGGUAGGCGGAGAAAACGGAAUUCUACAAGUAGCGGUGAAAUGCGUAGAUAUGUGGAAGAACACCAGUGGCGAAGGCGGUUUUCUAGCUUAUUCCUGACGCUGAGGCGCGAAAGCAAGGGGAGCAAACAGG
rnacentral:rRNA from 1 species